GGGGGCGUGGCGGAACUGGCAGACGCAGCGGCUUUAGGUGCCGUCUCCUUCGGGAUUGUGGGUUCGAGUCCCACCGCCCCCA
rnacentral:tRNA from 1 species